ACAUCAUCAGGAAUCCAGGACUCAAGCUUGUCCCCGCAAGGUCACUGGAGGCUCCUGAAGUCCAGACAUCACAGUGGAGACCACUUACGGCCACACUUCAUCAAGGAGUAAACCCCCACCGGCAAGCAGAGCCCCCUCUCACUCCUCAGUGGUCAGCACUGCAUGUCACGCUGGGGCCUAAGCCAGUCGUCACCAGCCAGAGGAUGAGACAUUGGGCUGCAGAGAAGUGAAAUGAACCUGCUAAGCCGAUUGUCAAAUGGAUGAGAAACUCAGAGCCAAGGAUCGGGAAAACACCCUUAAAGAACGAGGUGAUGGCUGAGUCUGUCCCAGGCCAGUGCUUUGAUAAGGCUGUGAUCACCACAGUGGGAUAGUAUUGGCUCAGGGGGAAGAAUGGACCCAUGCAGCAGGAAAAGGAGCAGGCAGCACACACAGUGUGGA
rnacentral:lncRNA from 1 species